rnacentral:rRNA from 1 species
GACGAACACUGGCGGCGUGCUUAACACAUGCAAGUCGAGCGGAAAGGCCCUUUCGGGGGUACUCGAGCGGCGAACGGGUGAGUAACACGUGAGUAAUCUGCCCCGUACUUCGGGAUAGCCACCGGAAACGGUGAUUAAUACCGGAUAUGACCUUUCUUCGCAUGUUGGAGGGUGGAAAGUUUUUUGGGUACGGGCUGUGCUCGCGGCCUAUCAGCUUGAUGGUGAGGUAAUGGCUCACCAUGGCUUCGACGGGUAGCCGGCCUGAGAGGGUGACCGGUCACACUGGGACUGAGACACGGCCCAGACUCCUACGGGAGGCAGCAGUGGGGAAUAUUGGACAAUGGGCGGAAGCCUGAUCCAGCAACGCCGCGUGAGGGAUGACGGCCUUCGGGUUGUAAACCUCUUUCGCACAGGACGAAGCGCAAGUGACGGUACUGUGUAAAGAAGCACCGGCCAACUACGUGCCAGCAGCCGCAGUAAGAC